ACCCAGGUCUUUUUUCUCUCGAGACAUAAACCAAGCGUGGAAGCUCAUUUCCGUCCAAAUCAUGGCCGCCGCUUUGGCCCAAAAAUACCUGAAUCAUCCCGGGGUGAUCUCGGACAUUAUUCCCAGGCCACGGAGUUCCAUCCUGCAUCGUCCAUCCCUCUUCAGGGACUUUUUGAGCUUUCGCCACGAGAGCAUUGAUUCGGACCUUGAACUCUUCA
rnacentral:misc_RNA from 1 species